rnacentral:lncRNA from 1 species
GCCUGAUCUUUUGGCCAGAAGGAGAUUAAAAUGAUGCCCCUUAAGAUGGCUGUGCCUGUCAGCUGCAUGGAGCUUCGUUCGAGUAUUUUCUGAGCCUGAUGGAUUUACAGUGAUCUUCGGUCGUCUGAGGAAUAACUCUGGUGGAACAAUGCACUGGAAUGACACACGCCCUGCACAUUUCAGGAUACUAAAAGUGGUUUUGAAGGAGGCCCUGGCUGAAUGCCUCAUGGAUUCUUACAGCUUGGAUGUCCAUGUGGGAUGAAGGACCGCAGCUGGCUGCGAGGACUGAGAUCUCUGUUUACUUGGGUCUCUGCCAACUUCCUUUGGGUCUCCCUAUGGAAUGUAAGACCCCGACUCCUCCUGGUGAAGCGUCUGAUGCAUGUUCCGUCCGGCGCUCAGCUGGGCUUGAGUUCCUCCGCCUGGGGGCUGGGCGGGAGGCGACUGACCUCACCCCUUGAAGCUGUCUCCUGGCUUUCCCAGCUACAGCCUGUGGGUGUGAAGAUUGCAGCGCCCUUCUCCUGGCUGACCACGCUCCCUGGAGCCUUCUCCCGAGGUGGCGCAGGUGUCCUUGGCACAUACAGCCGUGGUGAUGGUACUUUAAGUGGAGGCUGAAUCAUUUCCCCUUUGAGCUGCAUGGCACAUGGCUCCCUUGGUGUUCCCAUUUUACAGCCAGGACACUGAGAUUUGGAGAGGUAAGUGGCUUACCAGAGGCCAUGUGCUAACAGAGAAGAUGAAGAGAUGAUUGAAGCAGGCCUGAGGGUCUAUACAUUUUCCACAUACUUUCCAUAUCUUUAGAGGCCUGACCAAAGCAGAGCUUUUCCUUUCUUCUAGGUAAGUCCAAAGGCACCUGCCUGCUGGGCCCACUGUUUUGUAACUUUCUGAUCCCUUGGGGGUGAUGGUCAAAUAUUCGAGUCUGAGGCAUUGGGAUACAUGAUGCCGGGUUCUGAGGCUGUGUGUCAGGCCUAAACCCUGCAUUUUGUGGAGGUGUGUGAGAGAAUAUUCCCCCAGGGAACAUGCCUAGACACAGGGGGGUAACAGUUGCCCUCAUGGGGAGGCAUCUGUUUACUCGCUGCUAUGGGACCAUUUCAGCCUUUCACAAAACCACUGCAGGUGAGUGAGUUCCUGCUGAAUACCAGGCCUGGUCUCUUUAGACUCAUUAUUCCCCAACCCCCCCCUCCCCGCCCCACAACCCCUAUGCUAGUUCAUCUCUAGCCACAUUUUUAUUGCCAUCAUCCAGGCCUGGGCAGGCCAAGAUCUUUUAACAAUUUUAAUCACUGAAAAUAAUAACUGCAUUUUUUUUAAAGCCUAACUUUUGGUAGAGUCAGCCCAAAAUACAGUCUUUGUGUUGCUAUGUGGGAACUGGAUUUGGAAUUGUUCUUCCAUGAGACUGUAGAGCAGAACAGCAGGGCCAGAGGUCCCAGGAGCUGGUCAGACCUGGCUCUGCUCCUUCAUGGCUGAGCGACCUUGGGCAUUGUGAUUCAUAUUCUCAUCUGCCUCCAAGUGUGGCUACGAAUGCUUUUUAUCCCACUUAUCAAUUUCUAUGAUUGCCAUAAAAUAUUAACACAAAUUUAGCAUUUAUACACCAUAAUAUAUUAAUGCAUAGUUUUUUUUUGGGAGCGGGGACAGCGUUGAGACAGAGUCUUGCUCUGUCACCCAGGCUGGAGUGCAAUGGUUUGAUCCUGGCCCACUGCAGCCUUGACCUCCAGGGCUCAAGGGAUCCUCCCACCUCAGUCUCCAGAGUAGCUGGGACUACAGGCGUGAGCUACCACGCCUGGCUAAUUUUUUGUAUUUUUUGUAGAGACGAGGUCUCACUAUCUUGCCCAGGCUAGCCUGAAACUCUUGGACUCAAGCGAUCCUCCCACCUCGGCUUCCUAAAGUGCUGGGAUUACAGGUGUGAACCACUGUGCCUGGCUCAUGUCCAGUUAUCUAGGGCAGAGGUCAGACACGGAUCUCUCCAGGCUCACAUCAAGGAGCCUGUAGGCUGCCUUCCUUUCUGGAGACUGCGGGGGAGAGUCUGUUUCCUUGCUCAUCCUGGGUGUUGGCAGAAUUCGUUGCCUUGAGGUUGUAGGACUGAGAUCCUGUUUUGUUGCUGGCUGUCCAGUUGCACUGAGCUUCUGGGAGCCUCCCCUCUAGGCUUAUGGCCUCCUCUCUCCAUUUUCAAGUCCAGCAAUGGUGGGUCCAGUUCCUUUUAGGAUUUAAAUCUCUUCUCCCUCUUUCUUUUCACUUCUGUGAUCUCAGCUAGAAAAGAUUGUCUAAUUUUAAGGAUUCAUGUGAUUGAACUGGGGCCACGCUGAUAAUCCAGAAUAAUCCCUACUUCAAGGUCCUUAGCUUUAGUCACAUCUAGGAAGUUCCAUUGCCAUGGGAGGCAACAUAUUCACAGGUUCCAGCAAAUUCCGACAUGGACAUCUCUUUGAUUGGCAUGGAGUGUGGCAGGUAUUCUGACACGGUACCUCAGAACGGUUGCUGUGAUGAUUAAGUGAAUGGAUACAUGUAAAGCACUUAAAAUAUUAUGUUGAGCCAUAUGAAUUUGGCAGCAUUGAAUUGUUGACCUAUAAAAGGUCAACUUAAUAGUAUCUGGUCUAUAGUAAAUCCUCAGUAAAUGUUUGCUGUCAUU